CCUACGGGGGGCAGCAGUGAGGAAUAUUGGUCAAUGGGCGGAAGCCUGAACCAGCCAAGCAGCGUGCAGGAUGACGGCCCUACGGGUUGUAAACUGCUUUUAUACGGGAAUAACGCGCCUUACGUGUAGGCCUUUGCAUGUACCUUAUGAAUAAGCACCGGCUAAUUCCGUGCCAGCAGCCGCGGUAAUACGGAAGGUCCGGGCGUUAUCCGGAUUUAUUGGGUUUAAAGGGAGCGUAGGCGGUAUGUCAAGCGUGCUGUGAAAUGUCCGGGCUCAACCCGGGCCUUGCAGCGCGACCUGGCGUGCUUGAGUCCGCGGAAAGCAGGCGGAAUUCGUCGUGUAGCGGUGAAAUGCUUAGAUAUGACGAAGAACCCCGAUUGCGAAGGCAGCUUGCUGCAGCGGAACUGACGCUGAUGCUCGAAAGCGCGGGUAUCGAACAGGAUUAGAUACCCGAGUAGUC
rnacentral:rRNA from 1 species